GGCUUCCCAAUGCUUACCACAGGCUGUGUUCUUUACACUGACUAUAUAUAUAGAAAGAGGAGGUACAGUAAAUCACCCCAUAUACACCUCAAUCCAGGCCCUUUGCCUGGUCUGUAUUGUGAAUUGGAGACCAAAA